GAUGAAGAACGCAGUGAAAUGCGAUAAGUAAUGUGAAUUGCAGAAUUCAGUGAAUCAUCGAAUCUUUGAACGCACAUUGCGCCCGUCAGUAUUCUGGCGGGCAUGCCUGUUCGAGCGUCAUUACGCCCCUCAAGUCCCCUGUGGACUUGGUGUUGGGGAUCGGCGAGGCUGGUUUUCCAGCACAGCCGUCCCUUAAAUUAAUUGGCGGUCUCGUCGUGGCCCUCCUCUGCGCAGUAGUAAAACACUCGCAACAGGAGCCCGGCGCGGUCCACUGCCGUAAAACCCCCCAACUUUUUAUAGUUGACCUCGAAUCAGGUAGGACUACCCGCUGAACUUAAGCAUAUCAAUAAGCGGAGGA
rnacentral:misc_RNA from 1 species